rnacentral:misc_RNA from 1 species
GAUGAAGAACGUAGCGAAAUGCGAUAAGUAGUGUGAAUUGCAGAAUUUAGUGAAUCAUCGAAUCUUUGAACGCACAUUGCACCCUAUAGUAUUCUGUAGGGCAUGCCUGUUCGAGCGUUAUUGAGACCUCAAGCUCUGCUUGGAAAUGGGCGCUUGUCUUGCCUUGCAGACUCGCCUUAAAACCAUUGGCAGCUGAUUUACAAUGUUUGGUGCACAGUACAUGAGCCCAAGUGUUGCAAUGAGUGGCCCAAAAGUAUACAAUAGAAGCUUAACCUCGGAUCAGGUAGGGAUACCCGCUGAACUUAAGCAUAUCAAUAAGCGGAGGA